CUUCUCAGGCCUCAAGGAGCCCCAGAGGGUACAGGCAUGGGCAACCUCGCUGCUGGAUUUCAUCAGCAAGAUGGCUCCACCCACACUGGGACCCUUGGCCUGGGUCCAUCCCUGCCCUGACAAGUCCUGUCAAGAAUGAAGAGCAGCUUUCCUGGGGCCCCCUCCAGCUGAAAAGUCACAGUCUCCAACUUGCACCUGCCUGGAUGCCUGCCCCUGACUGAGCACAGGUAGGUCCGUCUGUUUCGUUCGCACCUGUGGGUCUGGGGAUGAGCUUUGUGGGUGUGGGGACCUGGCUCAGUGUGGGG
rnacentral:lncRNA from 1 species